rnacentral:rRNA from 1 species
CCCGGGACCUAGGGACCUGCAUAUUGCCCAAUGGGCGCAAGCCUGAUGCAGCCAUGCCGCGUGUAUGAAGAAGGCCUUAGGGUUGUAAAGUACUUUCAGCGGGGAGGAAGGUGAUAAGGUUAAUACCCUUAUCAAUUGACGUUACCCGCAGAAGAAGCACCG